UACGUAGGGCGCAAGCGUUGUCCGGAAUUAUUGGGCGUAAAGAGCUCGUAGGCGGCUUGUCACGUCGGUUGUGAAAGCCCGGGGCUUAACCCCGGGUCUGCAGUCGAUACGGGCUAGCUAGAGUGUGGUAGGGGAGAUCGGAAUUCCUGGUGUAGCGGUGAAAUGCGCAGAUAUCAGGAGGAACACCGAUGGCGAAGGCAGGUCUCUGGGCAUUAACUGACGCUGAGGAGCGAAAGCAUGGGGAGCGAACAGG
rnacentral:rRNA from 1 species